AACCUGGCUAGGUCAGUUGGUAGAUCAUGAGACUCUUAAUCUCAGGGUCAUGGGUUCAAGCCCCAUGUUGGUUU
rnacentral:tRNA from 4 species